CGUCGAGUCACCCACUGGGAUAGAAAAAGAAAAGGGGUCCAAAAUACACUCAUGAUUGAAACCAAAAUACACAGGAACAAAUGAAGUCACAUAAGAAAGUGUAGACAUAAACCAAGUAAACAGUACACAUCAUGAGAGAAGAGAUUUAAAAUACCAGUGGCGAUAUUGAGAGAUGCCUCGGACUCCUGACGAGUAGUAAGAGCAUAGAGAUAAUUUUGAC
rnacentral:lncRNA from 1 species